UCAUUGUUUUGCAACAUUAGCAAUCUUGACGGACAGUGACGUAAGGGCAAUACUUGAGAACAAAUCCGGGUGUUGAUGGACUGAGCUAUUAUUUGUAUGCUUUUUCUCUCUCUUUCCGUAAUUUGUACGAAAAGAAAUGGAGGCCCCUGUGGAAUCAGACACAGAUGAUAGUAAAGAUGAAUCUUUAUCAUUUAAUGCGGAUGAUUCUGACUUUGAAGUAGACAUCAAUAUUCAUUUUCACUGUGAGCACUGUUUCAAACUUAACAAGUGCCGGGAGCCACCAAAGCCUGGAUGGAGCUGUGAAGUAGUGUGGUGUCCUAAUGACUGCGGUCAGAGUAUUUCAUUAGACGUUUACUAAGGCAGUCGUUCUCAUUUCACUUAAGGUCAUCCUUUUGUGGAAAGAGGU